rnacentral:snRNA from 1 species
GGUUGUUCGGGGGACCUGGCUGCAACAUCUGUCACCCAUUGGCUGUCAGAGAUUCAACUGAUGCGAUUGGCUGGACAGAUGCCCCCUUCCUCCCUCUUCAUUCCAUGUGAUCCCCUCCUGAAGCUGUUAAGCUGUGAGCGUGGUUGAAGAGGAGAAGAUGAUGACCCUCCCAGAACAGAGAAAGACCAUUUUAUUUUUCUUUUUAUUGGUGGGGGAUAUAUGAGUAGCUGUUUUCCUCCGCUGAAACCUCCCAACAAGCUCUGGAGUCAAACAUCAGGAUAGGGCUGGAGAAAUAGCACAGCGGAUAGGGCAUUUGCCUUGCAUGUGGCCGACCCAGGUUCGAU